AGCUUUGCGCAGUGGCAGUAUCGUAGCCAAUGAGGUUUAUCCGAGGCGCGAUUAUUGCUAAUUAAAAUAGUAAAAGAUUGAAAAAAGCUAAAUAUCUUUUGGGUGGGGACUGCUUAAAUAAAAUAUGGAACAUCCAUAUAAAA